GCCUGGGUGGCUCAGUGGUUGAGCAUCUGCCUUUGGCUCAGGUUGUAAUUCUGGGGUCCUGGGAUCAAGUCCCACAUCAGGCU
rnacentral:tRNA from 1 species